rnacentral:rRNA from 1 species
GACGAACGCUGGCGGCGUGCUUAACACAUGCAAGUCGAACGGGUCUGCCCUGUUUUUUGCGGGGUGGGUCAGUGGCGAACGGGUGAGUAACACGUGAGUAACCUGCCCCUCACUUCUGGAUAACCGCUUGAAAGGGUGGCUAAUACGGGGUGUUCUGGCUGUGCCGCAUGGUGUGGCUGGGAAAGAUUCACUUUUGUGGUGUUUUGGUGGGGGAUGGGCUCGCGGCCUAUCAGCUUGUUGGUGGGGUGAUGGCCUGCCAAGGCUUUGACGGGUAGCCGGCCUGAGAGGGUGGGCGGUCACACUGGGACUGAGAUACGGCCCCGACUCCUGCGGGAGGCAGCAGUGGGGGGUAUUGCACAAUGGGCGGAAGCCUGAUGCAGCGGCGUCGCGUGAGGGAUGGAGGCCUUCGGGUUGUGAACCUCUUUCGCCGGUGAAGAAGGUCCUGCUCUUUGUGGUGGGGUUGACGGUAGCCGGGUUAUGAAGCGCCGGCUAACUACGUG